rnacentral:lncRNA from 1 species
AUAGGCAGCCAGAGCUCCAAGGCUCCUCGGAAGACGUGACCACCAAGGUUGCGGCAGGUGCUUCCCCUGCAAAGGCCAACGGACAAGACGAUGGCCACGUGAAAAGCAAUGAAGACUUAUCUCCCAAGGGUGAAGGAGUGUUGCCUCUGUGAACAGAACACAUGAGGCAGCCGGGGCCACUGGCGAUGCCAUUGAGCCAGCAUCCCCUAUCCAGGGUGCUGAGGCCAAGGGGGCAGUCUCCCCUAAUAAGUUCUCUCUCAAGAAGUCUUUCAAAUUCAGCAGGCUGCUCUUCCACAAAAAUUGGAAGGAGGACGGGGGCAGUUCUUCUGCCUCUCAGCCAGAGGAAAUGCAGGAGCAAGGUGCCUGUAGCAACAAGGGCACUGCCCAGGAAAGGAAGGCUGCUGCUACCCCUGAGAGCCAGGAGCCCCAAGCCAAGGGGGCAGAGGGUAAUGCUGCCUCAGAAGAAGCCCCAGGCUACAGAGACAUCCACUCCCUUGGGGCAGAGAGUGGCCCUAUACCAGGCAGUGCUGAGCAGAAUGAG